rnacentral:tRNA from 1 species
GUAGUGGUGGUUUAGUGGUAGAAUUCUUGCCUUCCAUGUGAGAGACCAGAGUUCAAGUCCCAGCCAAAGCA